rnacentral:rRNA from 1 species
AUUGAACGCUGGCGGCAUGCCUUACACAUGCAAGUCGAACGGCAGCACGGGAGCAAUCCUGGUGGCGAGUGGCGAACGGGUGAGUAAUAUAUCGGAACGUGCCCAGUCGUGGGGGAUAACGUAGCGAAAGCUACGCUAAUACCGCAUACGAUCUAUGGAUGAAAGCGGGGGAUCGCAAGACCUCGCGCGAUUGGAGCGGCCGAUAUCAGAUUAGGUAGUUGGUGAGGUAAAGGCUCACCAAGCCGACGAUCUGUAGCUGGUCUGAGAGGACGACCAGCCACACUGGGACUGAGACACGGCCCAGACUCCUACGGGAGGCAGCAGUGGGGGAAUUUUUGGACAAUGGGCGCAAGCCUGAUCCAGCAAUGCCGCGUGCAGGAU